AAUCCUUGAUGAGGGCACCUUAUCAAAAGAUUCUUAAAUCCCUCCCAUGCAUCAUAUAAUGUCUCAAGCUCAAUUUAGGCAAACGAAGAGAUGUCGUUCCUCAACUU
rnacentral:snoRNA from 1 species